rnacentral:misc_RNA from 1 species
GAAAUGCGAUAAGUAAUGCGAAUUGCAGAUUUCAGUGAGUCAUCGAAUCUUUGAACGCACAUUGCGCCCGGCAGCACCCUGCCGGGCACGCCUGUCCGAGCGUCAUUUCAACCCCUCAGGCACCGCCUGGCGUUGGGGCCCUACGGCCGCCGUAGGCCCCUAAAGGAAGUGGCGGGCUCGCUACGACCCCGAGCGCAGUAGUCCUGCUCCUCGCUCAGGGGGAGGGCGGGCCCCGCCGUGAAACCACCCGGAAGCUCAAGGUUGACCUCGGAUCAGGCGGGAGUACCCGCUGAACUUAA